rnacentral:rRNA from 1 species
GACAGAGGGGGCGAGCGUUGUCCGGAGUCACUGGGCGUAAAGCGCGCGCAGGCGGUGACCUAAGUGUCGUGUGAAAGCCCCCGGCUCAACCGGGGGAGGCCAUGGCAAACUGGGUCGCUCGAGCUGCGGAGAGGCCCCUCGAAUUGCCGGUGUAGCGGUGAAAUGCGUAGAGAUCGGCAGGAAGACCAAGGGGGAAGCCAGGGGGCUGGCCGCAGGCUGACGCUGAGGCGCGACAGCGUGGGGAGCAAACCGG